rnacentral:tRNA from 1 species
GUCAGUGUCGUCUAGUGGUUAGGACGCGAGCUUUACACGCCCGAGAUCGAGGGUUCGAUCCCGUCCUCUGAUA